GAGUAAUGCGUGACCAACCUGCCCCAUGCUCCAGAAUAGCUCUUGGAAACGGGUGGUAAUGCUGGAUGCUCCAACUUGACGCAUGUCUUGUUGGGAAAGUGUUUAGUGGCAUGGGAUGGGGUCGCGUCCUAUCAGCUUGUAGGCGGGGUAAUGGCCCACCUAGGCUUCGACGGGUAGCCGGCCUGAGAGGGCGGACGGCCACAUUGGGACUGAGAUACGGCCCAGACUCCUACGGGAGGCAGCAGAC
rnacentral:rRNA from 1 species